ensembl:lncRNA
GGACCGAGCCGAGCCGAGCCGAACCGGGCCGAGAGGCUUUACUGGGGGUGGAGCCGAACCGAGCCGAGCGGAGCCAAGCUGGGCUGGGGGGGUUAACCGGGGCUGGAGCCGAGUCGAACCGAACCGGGCCGAGCUGGGCCGGGGGGUUAACCGGGGCUGGAGCCGAACCGGACCGGGCCGAGCCGAACCGAGGGGUUAACUGGGUGUGGAACUGAGCCGGGCCGGGCCGAGCCGAACCGGGGGGGUUUAAACCGGGGACGGAGCUCGAAUUGGGAUGAACCGAACCGGACUGAGCCGAACCGAGCCGGGACAGGGGGGUCAGCCAGGGCCGGAGCCCGAAUUGGGCCGAACCGGGCCGGCAGGGUUAACCAGUUGGGCCAUACCGAGCUGAGCCGAACCGGGCCGAGUGGGGGAGAUUAAUUCCGGAACCGGGCCGAACCAGGCUGGAAGGAGUUAAAUUGGAGCGGGGGCGGCGCUGGGGGCGGAAUCGAACCGAACCGGGAGGGGUUACAGUAAAGCGGUGGAACCGAACCGAACCGAACCGGGCCGAGGGGGGGGGGGGGAGAGGAAUAAGUGUUGGAACCGGACCGUGCCGAGAGGGGAGGGCCAGAAGAGAUGGAACCGGGCCGAGCCGAACCGGGCCGAGGGGGGGGGGGGGGGGGGGGGGGAGGGGAAUAAGCGUUGGAACCGGACCGUGCCGAGAGGGGAGGGCCAGAAGAGAUGGAACCGGGCCGAACCGAACCGGGCCGGGGGGGGGGAAUAAGCGUUCGAACCGGACCGUGCCGAGAGGGGAGGGCCAGAAGAGAUGGAACCGGGCCGAACCGAACCGGACCGGGAGGGGUUACAGUAAAGCGAUGGAACUGCGCCGAACCGAACCGGACCGGGAGGGGUUACAGUGAGGCGGUGGAACCGGGCCGAACCGAACCGGGCCGGGGGGGUGGGGGAAUAAGUGUUGGAACCGGACCGUGCCGAGGGGGGAGGGCCAGAAGAGAUGGAACCGGGCCGAACCGAACCGGACCGGGAGGGGUUACAGUAAAGCGGUGGAACCGGGCCGAACCGAACCGGACCGGGAGGGGUUACAGUGAGGCGGUGGAACCGGGCCGAACCGAACCGGACCGGGAGGGGUUACAGUAAAGCGGUGGAACCGGGCCGAACCGAACCGGACCGGGAGGGGUUACAGUAAAGCGGUGGAACCGGGCCGAACCGAACCGGACCGGGAGGGGUUACAGUAAAGCGGUGGAACCGGGCCGAACCGAACCGGACCGGGAGGGGUUACAGUGAGGCGGGCGGGGCCACGGGUGG